rnacentral:tRNA from 1 species
GCCUCCGUGGUGGAAUUGGUAUACACGCGUGGUUUAGGACCACGUGCCUUACGGCUUGUGGGUUCGAGUCCCUCCGGGGGCA